rnacentral:rRNA from 1 species
AGCGUAUAUUUAAGUUGUUGCAGUUAAAAAGCUCGUAGUUGGAUUUUGGGUGGGAGGGGCCGGUCCGCCCUCGCGGGCGUGCAUCGGUCUCUCUGCCUCUGUUGUCGGGGGCGUGAUCCUUGCCUUGGGUGGCUGGGGCGCGGCGCCGGCGCUGUUACCUUGAAAAAAUUAGAGUGUUCAAAGCAGGCCCACGCUCUGAAUACGUUAGCAUGGAAUAACGCGAUAGGACUCUGGUCCUAUUGUGUUGGUCUCCGGGGCCGGAGUAAUGAUCAAUAGGGACAGUUGGGGGCAUUCGUAUUCCAUUGUCAGAGGUGAAAUUCUUGGAUUUAUGGAUGACGAACUUCUGCGAAAGCAUUUGCCAAGGAUGUUUUCAUUAAUCAAGAACGAAAGUUGGGGGAUCGAAGACGAUCAGAUACCGUCCUAGUCUCAACCAUAAACGAUGCCGACUAGGGAUUGGCGGACGUCUAUUGGAUGACUUCGUCAGCACCUUGUGAGAAAUCAAAGUUUUCGGGUUCCGGGGGGAGUAUGGUCGCAAGGCUGAAACUUAAAGGAAUUGACGGAAGGGCACCACCAGGCGUGGAGCCUGCGGCUUAAUUUGACUCAACACGGGGAAACUCACCAGGUCCAGACAUAGCAAGGAUUGACAGAUUGAGAGCUCUUUCUUGAUUCUAUGGGUGGUG